rnacentral:rRNA from 1 species
AGCGAACGCUGGCGGCAGGCCUAACACAUGCAGGUCGAACGAAGUCUUCGGACUUAGUGGCGGACGGGUGAGUAACACGUGGGAACGUGCCUUUAGGUUCGGAAUAACUCAGGGAAACUUGUGCUAAUACCGAAUGUGCCCUUCGGGGGAAAGAUUUAUCGCCUUUAGAGCGGCCCGCGUCUGAUUAGCUAGUUGGUGGGGUAAUGGCCCACCAAGGCUACGAUCAGUAGCUGGUCUGAGAGGAUGACCAGCCACAUUGGGACUGAGACACGGCCCAAACUCCUACGGGAGGCAGCAGUGGGGAAUCUUGCGCAAUGGGCGAAAGCCUGACGCAGCCAUGCCGCGUGGAUGAUGAAGGUCUUAGGAUUGUAAAAUCCUUUCACCGGUGAAGAUAAUGACUGUAGCCGGAGAAGAAGCCCCGGCUAACUUCGUGCCAGCCGCCGCCGUAAGAC